rnacentral:rRNA from 1 species
CAAUAGCGUAUAUUUAAGUUGUUGCAGUUAAAAAGCUCGUAGUUGGAUUUCGGGUGUGAACGACCGGUCCGUCUUUGAUGUGUACUGGUUGGUUGCGCCUUAUUGUCGAGGACGUGGUUCUAGCUUUCAUUAGCCGGGACACGGAGUCGGCAGCGUUACUUUGAGAAAAUUAGAGUGUUCAAAGCAGGCCAUCGCUCUGAAUACUACAGCAUGGAAUAACACGAUAGGACUCCGAGCCUAUUCUGUUGGUCUUCGGGACCGGAGUAAUGAUUAAGAGGGACAGUUGGGGGCAUUCGUAUUCCGAUGUCAGAGGUGAAAUUCUUGGAUUAUCGGAAGACGAGCAUCUGCGAAAGCAUUUGCCAAGGAUGUUUUCAUUAA